AGCCUUGUAGUCAAUAAUGACAUUAGACUGCAAUUCUAAAGGAGUAAAUUUUACUAAGGCUU
rnacentral:tRNA from 1 species